rnacentral:lncRNA from 1 species
UAUUAUUGACAUUUUUAUAUCUGUAAUAAUUUGUUAAAAACAGGCAGUAAUUUAGCAUACUUUUUUUAUAAUCUUUAAGUGUUGAAUACAUUAAAAAUAACAGUUACUUUUAGCAACUUAUUAUAAAAUUAUAAUUGUUAGUUAAUGAAGUAAAAUUUUCAUGUAUAAAUUAAUAUUUAAAAUAUAUGAAAAAUACUAAAACCUGAGGUUACUGGAGUGUGUACAGCUGCAUACUCAUUUUCUGUGUUUUUUGUAUUUCUUAACUGGUUUAAAAAAUACUGUUUUUGAGAACUUCAGCUAGGCUUACUUCAGUACUAUAAUUGUGACUAAUAGGGGAGCAGUGAAAAGAAAUAGAGACAUGGUAUGUUAUGGACAGAAACCAAAUGAAAGAAGCUGUACUUUAUACUAUAUCAACUUCAAUUUUAGGUCUUGUUUUGAUAAAUCUGGUAGCAUUAUUCAUAAAUAUGUAAGCAAAGUUUGAGCAUCAUAUAUAUUCUUAUGACGUUGUUUAAUCUUAACCUGCCUUUGACCCUACUUUAGCACAUAAUUAUGAAGGAAAGAUUUAUAAUCCCUUUUUCCUUCUUUCUUUCUUUCUUCCUUCCUUCCUUCCUUCCUUUCUUUCUUUCUUUCUUUGGUACUGGGGAUCGAACUCAGGACCUUGCCCUUCGAGGCAGGCAGCAGCACCACUGAGCAAAAUCCCCAGCCCAAUCCCUCAUUUCUUCUUUUGCCCAUAUUGAAAUCCUAUAUGCAAGAGGCAAAGAUAGUUUGGAGACUUUCAAAGUUUUCAUGUAUUGGUGUAUUUAUACCAAUAUGUGCACUCAUUAGAAAAGCUCUUUGUAAACUUAAUUUUUUUUUUUGUACCAGGGAUCGAUCUCUGUCCAAAAACUUGAUAUUUUAAAAGUACAGCAUUUCUGUAGUUUGGAAGAUUUUAUUAACAACUACAUCUAUUGAAUUGUCUCUUACUAGUAUCUACCAGAGGAAAAGAAAGAGAAUUACUAUAUAAACCCAGGGUUUAUGUAGCGGGGCCCCCAGGACUUUUUAAGUGUUUUAAAUACAUCCAUAUUAUUAUUCCAAUGUGAGAAAUGGAAGCAUGUUCUCAUACAUUUAUUGGAUGUUCACAUCUCUCUAUAUUAUUUUCAAGUUGAAGUUUCUAUUUAUUAACAUUUCCAUACUGUUUGCAAUUCUGUGAUUUUUACAUACAGUACAUACUAUAUAGUAGAAAUUGUGACUAAAAAUGAUUUGUAUAUUGUUAACAUAUUUUGAGAAGAAAAGCUCACAGUUCUUUUGGAUAGUUUCCCAUCCUUUUAUUUUCGUCUCUUUCUUUUCUUUCUUUCUUUUUUUUGGUACUAGGGAUCGAACUCAGGUCCUUGCGCUUGUGGAGCAGGCAGCGGAACCACUGAGCUAAAUCCCUGGCCCGAGUCUCUUUCUUUUAAAGCUCAAAUGUUUUAUGCGCUUAGAUAAAGGACCCAUGUAAUAAGGUUAGCUAUUCUCAGCUGGAAAGUAGAAACUCUUGAAACUCAGGAAAUUGUUCUGACAAUGUUUUAACUGUUCUCAUAUUAAGAAAAUGGCAAAAUGUAUAAAAAAUGUGAAAAAUAGUUUGUACUUUUUUUUCCAAGUGUUUUUUUCUACAUGCUUUCCUAUUGUGCAAUGGGGUGAAGUUUGAUGAUGUUUCUGUGUAGUGGUAAAGUACUGCUUAUUUUUAUUUACAUGUAAAGAAAACAGAUUUAAAUGUUUGUGUGGCCAAAAGAGCAUCAUUUAAAAGGUAAAGUAAGUUUAUAUAGGGCGGGGAUUUAGCUCAGUGGUUUGGCGCCUGCUGUGCAAAUGCAAGGUCCUGAGUUCAAUCCUCGGUACAAAACAAACAAACAAAAAAGUAAGUUUAUAUAGAGUGUAUGUUAAUGGUGCUUAUUUUUAAAAAUGUAAUUUGUUUAUGGUAUUACUUAAUGCAUCUUUACAGAAUUUAAUGGAGAAACAAGGCUAGGAGACAUUUGCAUCCUGAAGAGCCUUUUAUAACUUCAUGUUAUAUGGUGACAAGGUUUUUCCUUAAAGUUGAGAAACUGACUUUUAUGGUCCAAAUGAUUAACCUGUUAAAAAUAAAUAAUUAAAUUAACUUUGUGUCUUCUCAUUAAAAUGUAACAUUGCAGUUAUUAGAGAACAUAGUAUAAAAUUUUUAGAUCAUAUAUCAGAAACAAAAUGUUUCUAUUUGUAUUAUAAAGUAAAUGAAAUUUUGCUGUUAAUUCUUGUACUUUUUUAUUGAAAAUGUUUAUAAGUUUGCUUCUAAAAUUUCUUAUGAAGCUAUUUGCAGAUCACAUACUUAAUUUAAUAAAAUACUUUAGUCACAGUCCAGUGUGAGGAAGUCUUUCGUUUGAUGCAGUAUGCAUAGUGGCUUAAACAUUAAAAGAAUAUUUUUGUAUGUGACUUUGUAAUUGAGAGGGACAAGGGUCAUAAAAGUUUCAUUUCUGUAUCACAACUUUCCUUCUGGUUUAUUUGGCGCAGCAAAUGGUGAUUGAUUUUUAAACUAGACAAAUGGAUUAGCUAAGGCUUCUUUCUUCACCCCUGUGUCUUUUGACUGACAUCAAGAUUAACAAUUGUGUCUUUUAGGGACUUAAAUAACAUUAAGGACCUUAUUCAGCUCAAAAAAGGAGAAUAACUCACUCAUUUAGCAAAGACUUAAUAUCUUUAUUCAGCUGUGUUCUAGUAUCAAACACGAGAUAAUGGAGCAGGUAUCUGUGGUGUUCCACCAUUUUCAAGAAAGGCAUGAAUCUACCUUUCCAAAGUCUUAAAUUGACACCAUAACUGCUGGAAGAGGGGAGGACAGAUCCGGGAGAUCUAAUAUGGUGAAGAGAAAACCUUAUAAGUUUCUGUACAGAAAGGAGUUAUUUACAAAUGGGAAAGAAUUGGACUGGUACCGGAUGGUGGAAUCAUAACCGUAUCUAUUGACAGAAAAGGAAUAUAGCAACCCAAGAAGUCCUUUUCCAGCUAAACAUCAUUCACUCACCAGGGAGAACGAGAGACAGAAAUGUAAGGAUUCCAAGAAUAUAUCAUCCAUACACUCCCAUCUGAAGAAACUAUGAAAAAGGACUCUAACCAAACAAAAUAAUUAGAAUAGAGAUUUUAAGAAAGAAAGAAAAAGUGAUGAGUGAACAAUGAGAUAUGUACUAUACAUGGAUGAUGGUGGAAUGACUGGAAAUAUGUACUAUGUGUGUUAAAUAAAGAUUAUUAAGAUAAA